UACGAAGGGGGCUAGCGUUGUUCGGAAUUACUGGGCGUAAAGCGCACGUAGGCGGUUCGUUAUGUCGGAUGUGAAAGCCCUUGGCUUAACCGAGGAAGUGCAUCCGAAACUGGCGAGCUAGAGUACGAAAGAGGAUCGCGGAAUUCCCGGUGUAGAGGUGAAAUUCGUAGAUAUCGGGAGGAACACCGGUGGCGAAGGCGGCGAUCUGGGUCGAUACUGACGCUGAGGUGCGAAAGCGUGGGGAGCAAACAGG
rnacentral:rRNA from 1 species